rnacentral:lncRNA from 1 species
ACUGUGGUACAAAACCAAUUUAGCUUCAGAUGUGCUCUUAAUGGCUGUGUCUGUCCCCCCGGCUCAUCCGAUUUUAUUCAAGGUAACAUUUUAGUUAAAUUAUUUAUUACACAUGCUUACAUUGGUUGUAAUCGUUUUAAAUUCACAUUUUCACUUAGUAAAUACAUAUCAUCCAGUGAAAUUAGUUUCAAAUUACUUACGCUUGGCUCAAUAGCCAAUGGAUUUGUGCAUUUGUUUACCCAGAAACUGUGUUAAUGUGAAUUUAUUCCAGCACUUGGUCACAGUGGGUAGGACUGGAUUUUACAGUUAGGCUGCAAGCCUAUAUACACUUUUUCCUGGGAGUAAGAACUAUUUGAACACAGUGGGACUAAGUAAACAUGCAUACAAUUGUGCUGUUAGUACACAGUUGACUUAGACCGCAAGCUUCCACAUAGUGGGGUUGAUAAAAUCCUAUUGCAGGACUCUGCUUGUUCUGACAUUCAGAGGGGUGGGGAAAGAAAUAAUUCAAAAACAUUUUUUUUCUUAUCUUGAAUGAGGAAGGUUUCAGUUUGUUGGAAAAUCCAUGGUGCAAUAGUUUCAUAGGGUGUUUUUUUGGAAAAGAAAAAAUGUAAGCAAACAGUACCCUGACUUAUUUUCUUAUUGGAACUAAGGAUAAGCUCAAAAAGAACAUGCUUUUCAGCUUGUUUCAGAAAUCAAAUGCUAAAUUACAUGUAUUGGACUGUUAUUUUAUAUGGAGGGUUGCUCUUUAUUAGUUCUAGGUAUUUUUAUUCUACUUAAAUAUGUGUGUUUGCUUCUUGGACAAGUGUAAAUCACCUGUUCUUUUGAUGCUGUGAAUGUUUUGAGCUGUGAACGCUUUGUGUCAAAAUGUUAUACCCAUUAAUAUGCUGCCUCUUGCAGCUGAAAUAAAUAAAGCAAAGCAAAGCAAGUGAAUGAAUGUGUUGCACAUCACACCCACAUACACUACGACAGGCAAAACCAUGUUUCAGUACCCUGGACUGCUUGAGUACCAUGGACAGAGGGAAAGCCCCAUCCUUUAUUAUCUUUAUUAUGCACUCUUCCCAACCACUCCACCUCACCAAUACAGCAUUUCUUUCUUAGCAUAGUAGAAGUGUGGAAAUAGGAAGUGUGACUCACUGGUCCUUUCUAUUUUAGUGCUGGUUGCAGCAUGCAAACAGGUUAUUAUUCUUUCCCGAAGAGCUGGUGUUUUAGGUAGAUCAUUCACUUUAAACUUACAUUUUGAGUACAGUGGUUCCAUGCUAAAGAUUACCAGGAUGAAGUAAUAAAGGUAAAGGUAAAGGGACCCCUGACAUUUAAGUCCAGUCGCAAACAACUCUGGGGUUGCGGCGCUCAUCUCGCUUUACAGGCCGAGGGAGCAGGCAUUUGUCUGCUUCCACAGACAGUUUUUCCAGGUCAUGUGGCCAGCAUGACUAAGCCGCUUCUGGCGAAACCAGAGCAACGCAUGAAAACACAAUUUACCUUCCCGCUGGAGCGGUACCUUUUUAUCUACUUGCACUUUGACGUGCUUUUGAACUGCUAGGUUGGCAGGAGCUGGGACCGAGCAACGGGAGCUCACCCUGUCGCGGGGACUCGAACCGCCAACCUUCCAAUCGGCAAGCCCAAGCGGCACAGUGGUUUAUUCAGGCAGAAUGAAUGAACUGUGCACCAUCCCAUUAAAGACAACACAGGGACCCUCUGUGUUUGGGGAUCCCCUGCAAUCACAACUUCAAGAGAUCUCCAAACUGGACUAAAUGCAUUUUAAGGUAAUCUGGGGACAUAUAUGCUAUAUGGGAUGCUUCCAUCUGAAUAUUCAGUAUCGCCAGUAAAUACCUUCAAUCGACAUGCAUUAUUCCCACCACCCUUAGACAUUAGUUUGGGUAUGAUUAGGAUUAUGUGUACGACUAUGGUUGUGUAACACUAUGAUUUGACAACUGUUGUUCUUUCCUCUGGGGAGUUCAAUCGGUACCAUUUCAGUUCUUCUUAAACUAUUGGAGUGAAAUUAUUCCCCAACAUGUUUUUCCUCUAGCCUGUGGCUCUCAUCCAGAUCCUCAAUAUAAAUCUCUGUUUUUUUAAAAAAAAUGCUUAUGCUGUUUGACUUUACCAUAGGGAGAUGAAUAAUAAAGAAAUGCAUUUCCCCUGUCUUUGUUGUGCUGAACACGAGAGCCGUUUCUGCAAAAUUAACCUGUCACUCUCAAGCACUCAGAUAAAGAUAGGAUAGUGCUCGAACUAAUAUGUGCAAGAAUCCUACCUAAGGCUCCACGGAGCUGGAGACAAGUGAAUGACAGUCCAAGAAUCAAUGCAAUUGCCUUGUGAUUUAUUGAGAUUUUUCCUUGGCCAGGAUUCUCAAUUUAAUAUCCAUAGCAACCUUACGCGAUGCUGUUCCAUUUAGAAAUGGAACACGGUCUGUGGAAAAUCCACCGCGUUCAGAAAAGAAAAGCAUUGCCCGGUACUUCUGUAAAUCAAGUAGCUGCAAAAUCUUCCCAGCAAUGUAUAGAGUUGUACUACACAGGAUGUAGGAUCAGCUAUUGGAAAGAUUUGGUGUCGCCCCCUCACUGAUGUGCUAGGUAGGGAGUUUCAUUUAAAGAAAUCAUGGAGGAGUCGUCAAAAAUAUGACUCCCCCACUGCAUUCUGAAAUGGUACCAUCCAUAGUUCUCUUGUUCUCUCUCUCUCUCUCUGUGUGUGUGAGUGUGUGUGUGUGUAUUGCACAGCAUAAUUGGUUAUGACAACCUUGGUGAUUCAUGGGAGAUGAAUCUUCCUGUUCUUCCUGGGACCAUGUGCUCUUUCAGCAAGCAUAUGUAAAGUCUGGGGGUGCUUUUGGAUGCAGCUCUGCUCCUAAAUUCUCAGGUAGCAGCUGUGAAUCCCUUUUACCAGGUUAUACAGCAUCUCCUUCCUCAAUAUAAGACUCACUGACAUCCAUCAUUGAAAAUGACAAAUGGACUACAGCAUUGAGCUGUUCGCAGGGCUACCCCUGGAGAUGUUCUGGAAGCAGCAGCUAGAGCAGAAUGCUCCAAACUCAUUUAUUAAGUCUAUAUUAGCUCAUUUCUAUUGGCUUCUACCACAACCAAGUCAAGGUGUUGGUUAUUACUUAAUCCCUAAAUAACCUUGGGUUAGUAAUGUAUUCUGGAGCAUCUCCUCCUAAUGAACUUGCUUAGGAGUACUUCUCUACCUAAAGAAUGGAAUAGGGUGGUAGUAAUGAUAUGCAGCUCAGCGAGGAAAAAAGAGGAAGCCAUGGAAGGAUUGGCGGGAAGCCGGGGGAUGUGGAAUAAAGAUAACUAAGUUGUAUGUAUUAAGAAUUUGAAAAUGCAGUGGCGUAGCAAGGUCAGGUGGUACCUGGCGUGGAAAACUUUUUGUCAACCUCCGCCAUUGGAAUUAUUAUUUUUUGCCUGCAAAAAAUGGUUUGACUUUGUUUCAUAUUUUUGCAUAGACAAAGUUGUUGAGCUUUUUUUGUGCAGCCAGAGUUGCAAUGAAGAGUCUCCCUGCAGCCCUACAGCUGAGGGGGGAGCCAGUGGGCGGACCGUUUUGGCAGUGGGAAGCCUGUGCAAGCCAAAGCCACAGCGUCUAUCACAGAUGUUGAGUGCCGCACAGCAUUUUGUCACCCCCUUGGAGGUGACACUUGGGGCAAACUGCACCCACUGCACCCACCUUGCUCCGCCCCCGUGAAAAUGCAUAAAUAAAAUAAAAAGGAGUACUUCUCCACCUCUAGUGGAGCCCUGAACUGGACUUUCUACAUGAUGCUGCCACAACUUUGAAAUCUGCUUCCCAGGGAGACCCGCCAAUGCAGCUCAUCACUAGGCUUUCAGCGCAGUGUUAAACCUGUGCUUUUUCAAUCAUUUUAAUUUCUGCAUGGUUGCCUCCUGUUUUUAUUAAUAGUGACUUACUGGCCAACUUAUUGUAUUGACUGUAGAAAUCACCUUGAGCAAUUUUAAAGACAAACAGAAAGACGGAAAGGCAAUGCCUUUUAUAAAUAAAAUAUUAGGAUAUCUGUAAAGUCAAUUGCAUGGCGAGGCCCCGGGCCCCGCAGUUCCCUUGGAUAAUAAACACACAGAAACACACAGAAACAAAUAGUUAAUGGGGUAAAUAAGGCAACAUCUUUAUUGGUUACAGAUGUGAGCAGUUUGGCUUAGGCAUUGGGUGAAACCAGACUAUAUCCUGAAUCUUGCACGUCCGCAGGAAGUCUCUUAAGGGUCAACCACCGGUAGGGGGAGCCCUAUGAUAUACAUCAAUUAACAGCACCUCCAGGGUCCCCGCUGGGGUUGUGGCAUGGCCCUAGCCCACGCCCAGGCUUCGUACAGGAUCCACACCCCCGGAUCCCUUUAAUGGAAUACCCUUAUUGAAGAGGGGCAGGCGGAGGCAACAGUCUCCCCUCCCAUGAACAAACUUACCCAAUUCCUAACCUUACAAAGUUGUGAUGAUUGCUACAAGGUAGGCAAAAACUAAAUGGCUGGUGCCAAUUUGCCAAGUGGCGAAAAAUCCUACCUGGCCCCAACAAUAAGGCGACCGACAUUAGUCCAUAGCAAGGCCAAAGUCAAGCAACACAUGAAAAGAGGGUGGGUGGGCUGGGUGAUCCAAUGAGGAGGUGAAAGGAGGCCGUCCCCCCCCCCAGUUUAAACAGCAAGCUGCUACUAAUGAUGCAGCAUAACAACAUAUCCAUACUCCGCUGGCAGGAGAGGCUUCUGUACAUGAGCUGUGAGACCUGAUUCACAACCCUAAAGGAAUACCAGGUGAUCCUUCACAGGGAGCUGUCAAACCAUUGGUCCACCUAAUUCAGUGUGUACAUUGACUGGCAGUGGCUCUCUAGGGUUUCAGGCUCAGUACAUCCCUAACACUACCUGGAGAUCCUGGGGACUAAAUCUGGGACCUUGUGUGUCCAAAGCGCAGCCAUUUCCCUUCUGGCCCAUUUCACCAUGAUUUUGUUCUGGGCAUGCCCACAAACUUCUGACACUCCACAGAUGCCACCACAAUCUCUUGUCUGUCUUGUGAACCUGAAACAGUCAGGAUCCCCCCUCUCCCCAUAGAACCAUGGGUAGAGGGAGAUACCUUUGCACAAACAUUUCCAAGCAUGAUCUACAAGCACCUUAACUUAGCUUUGGGAGAUGGAUCCACCAUAUUGAAUUACUGCACCAAUUUGUUAGAGUAAAUAUCCACUUAAUAAGAUUCAAGGGGAAAAUAUUCUUCAAAGGUUACUUACUCUAGAGAGACUGAUUAGGAAUAUUUGCCAAACAUAAAUGGAAAUGUUGAACUGCACCCAAAUGCUAUGAUUAAGAUAGCUGUUCAAUCUGCUGGCACUUCUUCCAUUCUUGUAAUGGCCUGGUGCCCAAAUGAGACAGGCAGGCAAGAAAUAUACCCAAUAAUGCUGUCAUCGGAUAUAGCAGAGCAGUGACCUCAUAAAGUUAGCGAUUUCCCCUCCCAAAAAGUAAGUCGCUUUCUUCUCUUCCAGCAUAUCACACAGCCUUCCCCAUAAUUCAGUUUACAUACAUGGCAUUUAAAAAAAAAAAAAAGCAAUGGUGAAGGAUUUAAAUGGAGAAGGAAGUGUCAGUUAUCCUAGCAUGCUUCUUUAAAAGAAACAAGUUCUGUUAGUUAUUUUAAUAAAAUGAUACCGUAGAAAGACAGAUAGGGAUCUCGCACUUCCCUCCAAGUAAUCAGAAGCGCUCCUGUGUAUCUAGCCAUCUUAACUUGUCUACAUCACUAUAAUGCAUGCACUUAAAACAAAAACCUGAAAUGGGAUUUCCUAAAGGGACAUGCCAUCUGAAACAGAGAAAGAUGGGGUACUAUGAGCCGAAACCUGCCCCUGAAAUACACAACAAUACCACUAAGGCGAGUUUCAUCAUUUCCGACUCAUGAACAUUAUUGUUGUCACUAUUCAUUGUGUAUUUGAAUUAUGUAUUUUGAAAUGUUGCAAAUUGCUCCUGGGAACAUGUUUGAAAAGUAGGGUAAAAGCGCCUUUAAAAAUUGUAUUGAAUAAGGCUGGUUUUAUAUUUAUGGAGAUUGUUGAUACAUUUAUUGAAAUCAAGGAACGCAAACCUUUCUAAGGAAAGAUUCUGCUUCCUCUUCUAGUGGAGUAAAUCUGAAACUUCUUGGUGAAAAUUAAUGAAGUUACAUCGGUUUUACAUUUGGGUAAAUGGCAGUAGAGCUUUACUGUGCAAUUCUUUAAUGGGUGCUAAAGCAUAGUUUUGAUUUGAUUUUACAGUGUGGAACAACUGUUAACAAAGAGCAUACUGUGUGUAUUAUCACUGCAAUGAAGCCACCAUGACUCUUCUGAAUUUCAAUGCAGUGAAUACUAUGGUUCACGCUGGGAUUCUGAACUGCCCAGUUUACAAUAUGCAGCCAGUAGGUCAAAAUGUAGGUUUUAAAAUGCCUUGUUAACACUGUACUUCCAGUAAGUGCACAGGAAGAGCAUUUCAGUUGCACUGCACUUUGAAAAGCCCUUGCUUUGUUCUGUGGCAGGCAAUACGUUAAAUUCAUUGUCAACUAGACCCUUCUGAGAAAAUGAACUAGGCCCUCAAGACAAGGCCAUUUACAAAGGAGGAGAGGGGGCAUGACCAUUUGCAAAUGGUUCUUCUCCCUACUGGGACAUCUGGUUUGCAUGCAGGUUCAAACCCUGGUAUCUCCAAGUAGGCCUAGAGAAGACCCCGCCUGAAAUCCCAAAGAGCUGGUGCCAAUCAUUGUAGUCAAUAUUGAGCAAGAUGGAGAGUUUGCCUGACUUAGCAUAAAACAGCUUACUCUGUCCCUAUGAGCUGAUGUUGCAAUGUGCCUGGUUCAUAUCUAGCAAACUCAGCUCUUGGGAAAUGUGGCUUAAUGCACCCUAGAACAUGCACAACAUUCUCUCACAGCUGUCAGAGGACAGGUCUGUCUAUUUCUCCACCUGGACCAUCAUUGUCUGCUGUGGUUCUACAGGAUCCCAGACAGAGGUCUUUCUAAUCCCUUGCUACCUGAACAUUUCAACUGGAGAUGUCAUGCAUUGCAUCUGAGAGCUUUUGCAUACUACUCAAUUAUGGCCAGUUGUCUUUGUCCAUGGAGUUUUCUUGGCAGGGAGGAGAAGGGGACGAAAGAGGGCGAGAUGGUUGGAUAGUGUUCUCGAAGCUACCAGCAUGAGUUUGACCAAACUGCGGGAGGCAGUGGAAGACAGGAGUGCCUGGCGUGCUCUGGUCCAUGGGGUCAUGAAGAGUCGGACACGACUAAACGACUAAAAAACAACAAUUAUGGCCAAUAUCCAAUGCUGUCUGCCAUUACAGCGAAAUUCCUCUUAUGAAUC